rnacentral:rRNA from 1 species
CGGGGUGAGUAACGCGUGGGUAACCUACCCUGUACACACAGAUAACAUACCGAAAGGUAUGCUAAUACGGGAUAAUAUAUUUGAGAGGCAUCUCUUGAAUAUCAAAGGUGAGCCAGUACAGGAUGGACCCGCGUCUGAUUAGCUAGUUGGUAAGGUAACGGCUUACCAAGGCGACGAUCAGUAGCCGACCUGAGAGGGUGAUCGGCCACAUUGGAACUGAGACACGGUCCAA